ACCGUGUUCCCUUCCAAGGACAGCAGUGGGCUGGAUUUGGCCCUUUGCCAACCCUGUGCUGAAUUCAAACCCCUGGAAUCCAGUGAAGGGAGAGCCUUGCAGCCCGCUCAGAGGAAAAGGAACUAAAGUCAGAGAUGAGCUGACAAGAGCGAGUCCUGGAUUCAGCCGUGCCUGAAGGCAGCUGUCCCUUGGACAUGCCAGUUAUGUAACUGACAGUUCCUUUCAUCGCUGAGGGCAGUUUGGUACGGGUUUGUGUCCUCAUCGAGAGUCGGGACUCAUGGGACCCCGUCUAGCCGCGUGCUGUUGGAGUCCCAGCCUCGUGAAACGCUUGAGCUGGAAAGGCCGCCAGCAAGCUGGGAAGCAGGAAGAGGGACAGGCCUUUCACAGUCGGCUCAGGACAUGGAGAUUCCCUGGAGAACUGGGAUGGGACCACCAUGUGACCCAGCUAUCCUCUCCUCAGUCUAUACCCAAAGACUUAAAGACAGCAUACUACAGGGACACAGCCACAUCAGUGUUUAUAGCAGCACAAUUCACAAUAGCUAAACUGUGGAACCACCUAGAUGCCCUUCAGUAGACGGAUGGAUAAAAAAAUGUGGCACAUAUACACAAUGGAAUAUUACUCAGCAAUAAAAGAGAAUACAAUCAUGGCAUUUGCAGGUAAAUGGAUGGCGCUGGAGAAGAUAAUGCUAAGUGAAGUAAGUCAAUCCCCCAAAACCAAAUGCUGAAUGUUUUCUCUGAUCUAAGGAGACUGAUUCAUA
rnacentral:lncRNA from 1 species